GGAGUCUGUAACAAUAGCUUGCUGCGUUCAGUGAUCUCACCUCCGAUGUGAUAAGGCAGGCCACAGUUGGCAAAUGAGACAAACGGGCCACGUUCGAACAUGAGGAUCUGAGCUUCUUCACUGAGACGGCGUGCCCGUGCGGCGGCUGAGGCGCCACCGGCAACCCCGC
rnacentral:antisense_RNA from 1 species